rnacentral:rRNA from 1 species
AGACGUCCCAAGCGUUGUUCGGAUUCACUGGGCGUAAAGGGUGCGUAGGUGGCCAGGUAAGUUUGGUGUGAAAGCUCGGAGCUUAACUCCGAAAAGUCAUUGAAUACUAUCUGGCUGGAGGGUCGUAGGGGAGACUGGAAUUCUCGGUGUAGCAGUGAAAUGCGUAGAUAUCGAGAGGAACACCAGUGGCGAAGGCGAGUCUCUGGACGACUCCUGACACUGAGGCACGAAAGCUAGGGGAGCAAACAGGAUUAGAUACCCUGGUAGUCCUAGCUGUAAACGGUGCACGUUUGCUGUAAGAGGAAUCGACCCCUUUUGUGGCGAAGCUAACGCGCUAAACGUGCCGCCUGGGGAGUACGGUCGCAAGAUUA